UACGUAGGGUGCAAGCGUUAAUCGGAAUUACUGGGCGUAAAGCGUGCGCAGGCGGUUUUGUAAGUCUGUCGUGAAAUCCCCGGGCUUAACCUGGGAAUUGCGAUGGAGACUGCAAGGCUAGAAUCUGGCAGAGGGGGGUAGAAUUCCACGUGUAGCAGUGAAAUGCGUAGAGAUGUGGAGGAACACCGAUGGCGAAGGCAGCCCCCUGGGAUGAUACUGACGCUCAUGCACGAAAGCGUGGGGAGCAAACAGG
rnacentral:rRNA from 1 species